GGGAGUUUCGAGCCACUCAGCCAAGUAGCACGCCGAUGACCGACGAGUUAACACAACAAUAGUGGAUUGAGAAGGUUGCUCCCCUAACAAGGCAAGGGACAGUUUAUGGGAUGCCUAAUCGAGCCUUGCGUCGAUACACGUCGGCCUUGGAGCCGUAGGUGUUACUGAUGAUGGAGCAGUUGAUCCUAAGAAGUAUGAAGCUAUGAAGCAUCAAGUUGACCUGCUAACAAGAACACUUAAUUCCUCGGAGGCUAGGAAGUUUGGGGUUUGAAUGUAGUUUUAAUUUGAACUAAAAGUACUUUUAAUUUUAAGAUGUUUAAGUGUUUGAAUGUAGUUUAUGAUGUUUAAGUGUGUGAAUGUAGUUUAUGAUGUUUAAGUGUUUGAAUUUGAUUGUUUAUAAGUGUUUGAAUGGACAAUGUUUAAGUGUUCAA